CUAAGGAACUCGGCAAAAUGGCCCCGUAACUUCGGGAGAAGGGGUGCCACCGAGAGGUGGUCGCAGUGAAGAGUCCCAGGCGACUGUUUACCAAAAACACAGGUCUCCGCUAAGUCGCAAGACGAUGUAUGGGGGCUGACGCCUGCCCAGGGCCGGAAGGUUAAGGAAGUUGGUCAGGGAGCAAUCCUGAAGCUAGCGACUGAAGCCCCGGUGAACGGCGGCCGUAACUAUAACGGUCCUAAGGUAGCGAAAUUCCUUGUCGGGUAAGUUCCGACCCGCACGAAAGGCGUAACGAUCUGGGAGCUGUCUCGGAGAGAGGCUCGGCGAAAUAGGAAUGUCUGUGAAGAUACGGACUACCUGCACCCGGACAGAAAGACCCUAUGAAGCUUUACUGUAGCUUGGUAUUGGGUUCGGGCUUUGAUUGCGCAGGAUAGGUGGGAGACUAUGAGAUAGCUCUUGUGGGAGUUAUGGAGUCACUGGUGAGAUACCACUCUAUCAAGGCUAGAAUUCUAACUUUGACCCGUUAUCCGGGCAGAGAACAGUAUCAGGUGGGCAGUUUGACUGGGGCGGUCGCCUCCUAAAUGGUAACGGAGGCGCGCAAAGGUUCCCUCAGGCUGGUUGGAAAUCAGCCAUUGAGUGUAAAGGCAUAAGGGAGCUUGACUGCGAGACUGACAAGUCGAGCAGGUACGAAAGUAGGCCUUAGUGAUCCGACGGUUCCGCGUGGAAGGGCCGUCGCUCAACGGAUAAAAGUUACUCUAGGAUAACAGGCUGAUCUCCCCCAAGAGUUCACAUCGACGGGGAGGUUUGGCACCUCGAUGUCGGCUCAUCGCAACCUGGGGCUGUAGUCGGUCCCAAGGGUUGGGCUGUUCGCCCAUUAAAGCGGUACGUGAGCUGGGUUCAGAACGUCGUGAGACAGUUCGGUCCAUAUCCGGUGCAGGCGUAGGAACAUUGAGAGGAGUCUUCCUUAGUACGAGAGGACCGGGAAGAACGCACCGCUGGUGUACCUGUUAUCGUGCCAACGGUAAACGCAGGGUAGCCAAGUGCGGAGAGGAUAACCGCUGAAAGCAUCUAAGUGGGAAGCCCACCUCAAGAUGAGUGUUCCCAUGGCAAGAGCCAGUAAGGUCACGGGUAGACCACCCGUUAAUAGGCGCUAGAUGGAAGUCCAGCAAUGGAUGUAGUCGAGGCGUACUAACAGACCGAGGGCUUGACC
rnacentral:rRNA from 1 species